GACGGAGGGUGCUAGCGUUGUUCGGAAUUACUGGGCGUAAAGGGCGCGUAGGCGGUUUUUUAAGUGAGGCGUGAAAGCCCUGGGCUUAACCCAGGAGGUGCGUUUCAGACUGGAAGACUUGAGGACGAGAGAGGAAAGUGGAAUUCCUAGUGUAGAGGUGAAAUUCGUAGAUAUUAGGAAGAACACCAGUGGCGAAGGCGACUUUCUGGCUCGUAACUGACGCUGAGGCGCGAAAGCGUGGGGAGCAAACAGG
rnacentral:rRNA from 1 species